rnacentral:rRNA from 1 species
AACGAACGCUGGCGGCAUGCCUAACACAUGCAAGUCGAACGAGACCUUCGGGUCUAGUGGCGCACGGGUGCGUAACGCGUGGGAACCUGCCCUUAGGUUCGGAAUAACUCACCGAAAGGGGAGCUAAUACCGGUUAAUGUCUUCGGACCAAAGAUUUAUCGCCUUUGGCUGGGGCCGCGUUGGAUUAGCUAGUUGGUAGGGUAAAAGCCUACCAAGGCGACGAUCCAUGGCUGGUCUGAGAGGAUGAUAAGCCACACUGGGACUGAGACCCGGCCCAGACUCCGACGGGAGGCAGCAGUAGGGAGUAUUGGACAAUGGACGAAAGCCUGAUCCAGCAAUGCGGCGUGAGUGAUGAAGGCCUUAGGGUUGUAAAGCUCUUUUACCCGGGAUGAUAAUGACAGUACCGGGAGAAUAAGCUCCGGCUAACUCCGUG